GUGUUGGCGUGCCGAAACAGGAAACUCCAGUUUGAGGUUUGAGCCUCAGUGAGAAGAUGAGAUCUUGAGUUUCCUGGAAAAGCCGCUCCCUUUUGAGUGUCGGGCCCAGAGAGUCUCAGACACCAGUCGCCACCUUACAGGCCAAGAUGAGCUCUCCUGCCUAGGCUGUCCCUGUCCCGUGGUCCCCGUCCCACUGCCCUGCCGGAGAGGCCCAGGAAUGGCCCUAUUUCCCAUCCUGUGGGGCUGGGUUCUCAUGGGUGCAGUGAGUACAGAUGCCGACACAAGCUUGGUGGAGCAAAGCCCCAGGUGGGUCCUGGUACCUCGCGGACAGGCUGAAACACUGCGCUGCAUCCUGAGGAAUUCCCAGUACCCCUGGAUGAGCUGGUACCAACAGGAUC